rnacentral:rRNA from 1 species
AGUGAACGCUGGCGGUAGGCCUAACACAUGCAAGUCGAACGGCAGCACAGGAGAGCUUGCUCUCUGGGUGGCGAGUGGCGGACGGGUGAGGAAUACAUCGGAAUCUACUUUUUCGUGGGGGAUAACGUAGGGAAACUUACGCUAAUACCGCAUACGACCUACGGGUGAAAGCAGGGGAUCUUCGGAACUUUCGCGAAUGAAUUAGCCGAUGUCGGAUUAGCUAGUUGGCGGGGUAAAGGCCCACCAAGGCGACGAUCCGUAGCUGGUCUGAGAGGAUGAUCAGCCACACUGGAACUGAGACACGGUCCAGACUCCUACGGGAGGCAGCAGUGGGGAAUAUUGGACAAUGGGCGCAAGCCUGAUCCAGCCAUACCGCGUGGGUGAAGAAGGCCUCCGGGUUGUAAAGCCCUUUUGUUGGGAAAGAAAUCCAGCUGGUUAAUACCCGGUUGGGAUGACGGUACCCAAAGAAUAAGCACCGGCUAACUUCGUGCCAGCCGCCGCCGUAA